rnacentral:rRNA from 1 species
GACGAACGCUGGCGGCGUGCCUAAUACAUGCAAGUCGAACGCAGUGGGGACGGGUGAGUAACACGUGGGUAACCUCCCAUCAGAGGGGAUAACACUUGGAAACAGGUGCUAAACCGAUACUGAUGGAUGAACCCGCGGUGCAUGUGGUAGUUGGUGAGGUAACGGCUCACCAAGGCCACGAUGCAUAGCCGGCCUGGGGGGGUGGACGGGCACAAUGGGACUUGGGAACGGCCCAGAAUCCUACGGGGGGCAGCAGGAGGGAAUCUUCGGCAAUGGGCGGAAGGCUGACCGAGCAACGCCGCGGGAGUGAAGAAGGGUUUCGGAUCGUAAAACUCUGUUGUGAGAGAAGCGGUAACGAACCAGAAAGGAACGGCUAACUACGUGCCAGCAGCCGCGGUAAUAC